AUCCCUAAAGUAACAAAUGAGGAAAUAAAGCAUAGCAAAAGGUAUACUUGGUCAAUUGGUCUUGUUUUUUAUUUUCAUUGUCCACGAGUAUUGAUUAAGAAUAUUAUUCAUAUCCGACCAACUUCCAGCCGGGACAUCAUUUAAUCGCAUACGAAACACAUACUGUACAUAAAACGUGCAUAAAUAUCAUGUUCGGGACGGGAUGAAAUGUGGGCCGGGAAUUCCUCUUGAAUUCCGCGGGAACGAGGGUGGAGGAGGUGCCGAAUCCCUGAAGUCCUUCGAGGGUUGAAUUUAACACAUUUAAAUUCGCUCAAUAAAAUUAAAUGAAGCACUUCACUGUCACUAGUAUAUGUGUAUAUAUAUAUGUAAGAGCCUAACGGCCACUUUAUUAUAUGUCUAUAUAAAAAAAUUCUGUAAUAAAAAUAUGUAAAAUUUAUUAACAAUUAAAGGACCUUACUUGAGUGAUCGG